GGGACACGUGGUAUCCUGUCUGAAUAUGGGGGGACCAUCCUCCAAGGCUAAAUACUCCUGACUGACCGAUAGUGAACCAGUACCGUGAGGGAAAGGCGAAAAGAACCCCGGCGAGGGGAGUGAAAAAGAACCUGAAACCGUGUACGUACAAGCAGUGGGAGCACGCUUAGGCGUGUGACUGCGUACCUUUUGUAUAAUGGGUCAGCGACUUAUAUUCUGUAGCAAGGUUAACCGAAUAGGGGAGCCGAAGGGAAACCGAGUCUUAACUGGGCGUUAAGUUGCAGGGUAUAGACCCGAAACCCGGUGAUCUAGCCAUGGGCAGGUUGAAGGUUGGGUAACACUAACUGGAGGACCGAACCGACUAAUGUUGAAAAAUUAGCGGAUGACUUGUGGCUGGGGGUGAAAGGCCAAUCAAACCGGGAGAUAGCUGGUUCUCCCCGAAAGCUAUUUAGGUAGCGCCUCGUGAAUUCAUCUCCGGGGGUAGAGCACUGUUUCGGCAAGGGGGUCAUCCCGACUUACCAACCCGAUGCAAACUGCGAAUACCGGAGAAUGUUAUCACGGGAGACACACGGCGGGUGCUAACGUCCGUCGUGAAGAGGGAAACAACCCAGACCGCCAGCUAAGGUCCCAAAGUCAUGGUUAAGUGGGAAACGAUGUGGGAAGGCCCAGACAGCCAGGAUGUUGGCUUAGAAGCAGCCAUCAUUUAAAGAAAGCGUAAUAGCUCACUGGUCGAGUCGGCCUGCGCGGAAGAUGUAACGGGGCUAAACCAUGCACCGAAGCUGCGG
rnacentral:rRNA from 1 species